UACGUAGGGGGCAAGCGUUGUCCGGAAUCAUUGGGCGUAAAGAGCGUGUAGGCGGCCCGAUCAGUCUGAUGUGAAAUCUUGAGGCUCAACCUCAAGCUGUCAUUGGAUACUGUCGGGCUUGAGUCCGGAAGAGGAGAGUGGAAUUCCUGGUGUAGCGGUGGAAUGCGCAGAUAUCAGGAGGAACAUCCGUGGCGAAGGCGGCUCUCUGGUACGGUACUGACGCUGAGACGCGAAAGCGUGGGGAGCGAACAGG
rnacentral:rRNA from 1 species